rnacentral:rRNA from 1 species
AUACGGAAGGUGCGAGCGUUGUUCGGAAUUACUGGGCGUAAAGGGCGCGUAGGCGGCGAUGUAAGUCAAAUGUGAAAGUCCUCGGCUUAACCGGGGAAGUGCAUCUGAAACUGCAUUGCUUGAGUAUGGGAGAGGAAAGUGGAAUUCCCGGUGUAGAGGUGAAAUUCGUAGAGAUCGGGAGGAAUACCGGUGGCGAAGGCGACUUUCUGGACCAAUACUGACGCUGAGGCGCGAAAGCGGGGGGAGCAAACAGGAUUAGAAACCCUAGUAGUCC